UAGGGAAUCUUCGGCAAUGGGGGGAACCCUGACCGAGCAACGCCGCGUGAGUGAAGAAGGUUUUCGGAUCGUAAAGCUCUGUUGUUAAGGAAGAACGAGUGUGAGAAUGGAAAGUUCAUACUGUGACGGUACUUAACCAGAAAGGGACGGCUAACUACGUGCCAGCAGCCGCGGUAAUACGUAGGUCCCGAGCGUUGUCCGGAUUUAUUGGGCGUAAAGCGAGCGCAGGCGGUUAGAUAAGUCUGAAGUUAAAGGCAGUGGCUCAACCAUUGUAGGCUUUGGAAACUGUUUAACUUGAGUGCAGAAGGGGAGAGUGGAAUUCCAUGUGUAACGGUGAAAUGCGUAGAUAUAUGGAGGAACACCGGUGGCGAAAGCGGCUCUCUGGUCUGUAACUGACGCUGAGGCUCGAAAGCGUGGGUAGCAAACAGG
rnacentral:rRNA from 1 species